CGUUUGCAAAAAUCCACUAUUUAAAUCAUAUUAAUUCGAAAUUUAAAACUUCAAUUACUCCCUACCUGUGAAUCUCAGGUUGUUUUUGAUUGCAGAUAUAGAUUCUACUCUUCGAUAUCUUCGAUUUGACUAUUCGCACGCUUGAUUCUGACUCCAAUAACGCCUUCAAAUCCACGUUUGAUUAUGAAGAACACGAAGAACACCGCUCGGUUUCUCUCGAUUAUCGUGCGGAGAAACUGGUGAAAUGAUUUUACGGGUGAAAAUAAGCUCUAGAAAGGUAUAUUUAUAUUUACAAAUAAUUGGUACCCCUUUGGAUCGUUUAUGGCAUGAAAAUACGUAUUUAAUAGCUUUAUAUUAAGAAAGUGGGGUCCAAUCGGUACUAGUUUUCAAGAUAAUCAUCAAAACGGGGCUUUUUAACUCAAUUAUUGGUUUGCGGGUCCCAUGGCAAUUAUGACAAGAUAAGGAUGAAGAAAAUAUCUCGUUUCACGUUUAUCGAGACAAACUGGAUAAUUAUCGAAUACCGAAAAGCUCCGCCGGACCGGCUCCGGAACAAACCUGUGACAGUCCGAGAAUCCGGGGGUCUGGAUUCUGACGUCACCACAUAAAACCCAUAUUUAAACACUUUUGGAAACCUGUAUUUUUUUUUUUUUUUUAUUUUUAUUUUUUUUUUNNNNNNNNNNNNNNNNNNNNNNNNNNNNNNNNNNNNNNNNNNNNNNAGUAUAAUCCAUAUUAAUCCACAGAACAAGUAUAAUCAUAUAAAACUAUUCACAUAAUCAAUUCACUUUUCAAUUAAAGCCAACAACAAUAUUUAGACGAAUAGAUUUAUAAUAAUCAAAUCUAAAUUUAAUAAUAUGGGAUAUUACAUUCUACCCCCCUUAUAAGGAUUCCGCCCUCGGAAUCCGCGAAGAAAAUUAAAAUGUAUCAUUUGUAAAAUCAUUGUACACGCUUCAUAAUAUCAGAUGCUCAUCUGCCCUUAAUCAACCUUGGCAUACCUUCAAAGUUAAAGAAAUAGGAGAAUCAAAGCCUUCACAAUUGCAAACUUCAUUUCCCAAGAAUCAAUCUUUGGGAAUUUCGGAGGAACAAGAUAUUUUCAAAAUAGGUCACAUUGGAAUACAAGAGUGACUGGGAGAUCAAUACGAUCAAAUGAACUUAAUGUUGCGUGUCCAUAUUAGACACUACUAAAGGUUGUUAACCUUCUUGUAAUCACAACACACACAAGUGAUGGCGUCCAUCCAACUCCUAUCACACAGACAGGUAUACCUUGUGUCCCCUAUAAUUAGGGUUGUUCAUCCCAAUCAGAUUGAAGAAAUAUCAAGGGAGAUUUAUGUCAAAGAUUUGCUUUUGAAUCGUUACUUCACAANNNNNNNNNNNNNNNNNNNNNNNNNNNNNNNNNNNNNNNNNNNNNNNNNNNNNNNNNNNNNNNNNNNNNNNNNNNNNNNNNNNNNNNNNNNNNNNNNNNNNNNNNNNNNNNNNNNNNNNNNNNNNNNNNNNNNNAUCACACAUCUUUAAAACUUUUGUAGAAAAGAUAUCAUGAUAAUAUCUCACUGAUGAGAAAACAAUCAAAAGAACCUUUAGUUGAAGAGAGGUAUUGCCAAGGUCUUCUCAAAUUCCCACUCUACUUUACGAAAUCGUUAUUCGAUUUAUGUCAUCCUUUCAACGUUCUCGAUAAUCAAUCGAUUUGACUCGUAAUAGCCUCGUAAGAUGUCAUCGUAGACGUUAUCGUCCGUAAUAACUCUGGCCCAUGUAGUUUACAUUCUUCUACUUUAUCCCAGUUGCCUUUGAAAUCCAUAGCACAAACACGUAACGUAUCUUCGAUUGUCUGGAUCAUCAACCUGUGGGUUAUGGACCCACCUUGAUGCCAUUUGAAAUCCCGAUUAGCUCGAAGCGUUGUCGUCGAGAACUAACGUUCUAACUUAUUCGUAGACAUCAUCUCUAAUAACUGGACUCAAUUCCACGUACUCUCUAUCAUUCACUUCUCACCUAUCAACCUCUAUCUACCAAUCUCUCCUUCUAAUCCAAUACAACUCAUACUCUACACUUACUCUUCAUAUCUUCACUCAAAACCAUAUACCUCUUCCAAAUAUCUGACAUGGUCAACAUACUAUGAACCAUGCAUCUUUAUCAUUUUCAAAUCAAUACACUAGACCAUUCUCAACUAUGGAGUAUAGUCAGAAUACUCUGAAUUCUGCAUUUUCACCAUUCUCAACUCAAUCAUUCACUAUCAAACUCUUCUAUCUAGGUCUAAUCUUGACCUUUCUCACAAUUCACCAUCUCAAUUAAUCAACAUACUAGAAAUCAUAUGUCUAAACUUAAGAAUCCUAAUCUCUCUAAACCUAUACACUCAACUUAGUCGUCUAACUAGACUCUAUUCUUCCUUCACAUCUCUAGACUAUUCCCAGAUAGUCUCACAAUACCUCAAAUGAGGUCACACAACAUUCCUCAUCAUUAGAACUUAAAACUAUAAUCUAUAUUCUGAUUUCAAUAACUUGUAACCUGUUGCUCUGAUACCAACUGUGACGGUCCAGGAAUCCGGGGGUCUGGAUUCUGACGUCACCACAUAAAAACCUUUUUAAAACCCUUUCGAAAACCUGUAAAAUUUUUUUUUUUUUUAUUUUAUUUUUAGAUAAAAAAAUCAGAGAAUUUAAAACCUGAAAACAUUUAAUAAAAGAUUUGAAUGAGAACAUAAAUCGAAUGAUUUCAAAACCUGAAUUUCAAACUUGAAAGCCAUAAUAGGAGAAUUUCAAGAGAACAUUUAAACUUUAAUAAAUGAUUCGAAAGAGAACAUUUAAACCCCCUAAAAGCAACAGGAUCGCAUCCAGGUUACAGUAUUGAAAUUAGAAUCUACCACUAUUAUUACACAACAUCUCUUACCAAAUCAGAUCAUCUUCGAUAAGAAGAAUCACUGUCAACUAUUCCAGCUUGCACCAACCUCAUCAACUUUCCUGAACACUCCUCGACCACUGGAUCCUCAACUCUGUCUCCUCGCCUAGCAUUAGCCUUAUUCACAAUCUCAAUCAAUCAUCUCAUCUUUAAGCCUUUCUGAAAUGGUUAGAAAGGAAUAGCAAGGGUGAGCAACAAUGCUCAGCAAGUAAUAAUAAACAAUGAUAGUUCUGAAAUGAUAUAACAGAAGUUCACGAGUUCAAGAUAUAAGAGGAUUCAACCUGAGUUCAUGAGUUCAUGGUAUUGUAUAGAAUGAUUUACAAUACCUUGCAGCAUUUAAACUGAGAAAUUCAAUCUUUCCAAAGAAUUAUUGAAUUGGACUAUCACAUUUUAAUUAAAACCAAGGUUAGGCAGCUGAUCAGUUCCGCACUAACCCCGAGCAGGCCCCGCCAUGCUCUAUCACUGGAUCCAAGGCACUCAUUGGCCUAACAUGACCACGAAUCUGGUCCACAGGUUUAUAUAAAAACAAUAAUCCAAUUCUCUAAUUCAAUUCAAGAAGCCAAUGUAAAUUAACAGAACAUCAUCAUAAAUAUCAUCAACAACAGAAUAAUUCCAAUUCAAACUUUGAUAAUAAUCUAUUCAUAAAUCAUGAUCCAUCAUUUCAUAAAUCACAGUUCAGGAAAUCCUCAACUAUUCAGUAUCCUCCAUUAUCGGCUAAGCAACUGAAUUUAGCCUGCUAAACCAGCAUGACAAUGGUGGGUUGAAUAAUCAAGAAGAUCCCAAUUCAUUCAAAGCUCUAACUAUCACUGAGCAACACAUGCUUCAAUGACAAUCUGAACUUCGAAUUAAUUUGUAGAACGGACAUUCUUUAGAAACUUGAAGAUUAGAAAGAAUGGGUCAGAAUACUCGCACUUUCGAACAUUGAAAAGAAAGGUAUGAAUACUUGAAACAUAUACCAAAGGAAUGGAUCAGAAUAUUUGCAAUAUAUCCAAGAGAAAGGUUUAGGAUACUUGCCUUAAAUCUGACUCCAGUCUCACAGCUCAUUCUCAUCUUUCCACUUUCACAAUCUAUGCAUCUCAUAAUCUCUAGACCAUCUCUGGCAAUAUAUCCAAANCAUACCUCACAAAACAAUAUACUUUUCCAAAUAUCUGACAUGGUCAACAUACUAUGAACCAUGCAUUUAUAUCAUCCUCAAAUCAAUACAAUAAUCCAAUUUCAAAUAUGCAGUAUAGUCAGAAUACUCUGAACUCUGCAUUUUCACCAUUCUCAACUCAAUCAUUCACUAUCAAACUCUUCUAUAUAGGUCUAAUACUGACCUUUCUCACAAUUCAUUAUCUCAAUUAUUCAACAUACUAAAAAUCAUAUGUCUAACUUAGGAAUCAAAAUCUCUCUAAACUUAUGCACUCAACUUAAUCAUCUAACUAGAUUCUAUUUCUCUAUCACAUCUCUAGACUAUUUCUAAAUAGUCUCACAAUACCUCUAUACGAGGUCACACAACAUUCUUCUCUAGAAAACCUAUAACUAUGAUCUAUAUUCUAAUUUCAAAUACUUAUAACCUGUGGCUCUGAUACCAACUGUGACGGUCCGAGAAUCCGGGGGCCUGGAUUCUGACGUCACCACAUAAAAACCUUUUUAAAACACUUUCGAAAACCUGUAAAUUUUUUUUUUUUUUCAAAAGAUAAUAAAAUCAAAGAAUUUAAAACCUGAAAACAUUUAAUAAAAGAUUUGAAUGAGAACAUAAAUCGAAUGAUUUCAAAACCUGAAUUUCAAACUUGAAAGCCAUAAUAGGAGAAUUUCAAGAGAACAUUUAAACUUUAAUAAAUGAUUCGAAAGAGAACAUUUAAACCCCCUAAAAGCAACAGGAUCGCAUCCAGGUUACAGUAUUGAAAUUAGAAUCUACCACUAUUAUUACACAACAUCUCUUACCAAAUCAGAUCAUCUUCGAUAAGAAGAAUCACUGUCAACUAUUCCAGCUUGCACCAACCUCAUCAACUUUCCUGAACACUCCUCGACCACUGGAUCCUCAACUCUGUCUCCUCGCCUAGCAUUAGCCUUAUUCACAAUCUCAAUCAAUCAUCUCAUCUUUAAGCCUUUCUGAAAUGGUUAGAAAGGAAUAGCAAGGGUGAGCAACAAUGCUCAGCAAGUAAUAAUAAACAAUGAUAGUUCUGAAAUGAUAUAACAGAAGUUCACGAGUUCAAGAUAUAAGAGGAUUCAACCUGAGUUCAUGAGUUCAUGGUAUUGUAUAGAAUGAUUUACAAUACCUUGCAGCAUUUAAACUGAGAAAUUCAAUCUUUCCAAAGAAUUAUUGAAUUGGACUAUCACAUUUUAAUUAAAACCAAGGUUAGGCAGCUGAUCAGUUCCGCACUAACCCCGAGCAGGCCCCGCCAUGCUCUAUCACUGGAUCCAAGGCACUCAUUGGCCUAACAUGACCACGAAUCUGGUCCACAGGUUUAUAUAAAAACAAUAAUCCAAUUCUCUAAUUCAAUUCAAGAAGCCAAUGUAAAUUAACAGAACAUCAUCAUAAAUAUCAUCAACAACAGAAUAAUUCCAAUUCAAACUUUGAUAAUAAUCUAUUCAUAAAUCAUGAUCCAUCAUUUCAUAAAUCACAGUUCAGGAAAUCCUCAACUAUUCAGUAUCCUCCAUUAUCGGCUAAGCAACUGAAUUUAGCCUGCUAAACCAGCAUGACAAUGGUGGGUUGAAUAAUCAAGAAGAUCCCAAUUCAUUCAAAGCUCUAACUAUCACUGAGCAACACAUGCUUCAAUGACAAUCUGAACUUCGAAUUAAUUUGUAAAACGGAAAUUCUUUAGAAACUUGAAGAUUAGAAAGAAUGGGUCAGAAUACUCGCACUUUCGAACAUUGAAAAGAAAGGUAUGAAUACUUGAAACAUAUACCAAAGGAAUGGAUCAGAAUAUUUGCAAUAUAUCCAAAAGAAGGGUUUAGGAUACUUGCCUUAAAUCUGACUCCCGUCUCACAGCUCAUUCUCAUCUUUCCACUUUCACAAUCUAUGCAUCUCAUAAUCUCUAGACCAUCUCUAGCUAUACUCUAUUCGCCACAUCGCUUCGCUUACUCGAUUCAUCCCUUAUUCGCUUUGCAAUACCAUUCUGACUUUCUGACGUCUUCGAACGUACACGUCUCCUCCAAAUCCUUUACGAAAAUAAGAUCAUACUAUAGUCACUAAACAAUAU
rnacentral:lncRNA from 1 species